rnacentral:rRNA from 1 species
GACGAACGCUGGCGGCGUGCCUAAUACAUGCAAGUCGAACGCUGAAGAGAGGAGCUUGCUCUUCUUGGAUGAGUUGCGAACGGGUGAGUAACGCGUAGGUAACCUGCCUGGUAGCGGGGGAUAACUAUUGGAAACGAUAGCUAAUACCGCAUAAAAUGGAUUAUCGCAUGAUAAUCCAUUGAAAGGUGCAAAUGCAUCACUACCAGAUGGACCUGCGUUGUAUUAGCUAGUUGGUGGGGUAACGGCUCACCAAGGCGACGAUACAUAGCCGACCUGAGAGGGUGAUCGGCCACACUGGGACUGAGACACGGCCCAGACUCCUACGGGAGGCAGCAGUAGGGAAUCUUCGGCAAUGGACGGAAGUCUGACCGAGCAACGCCGCGUGAGUGCAGAAGGUUUUCGGAUCGUAAAGCUCUGUUGUAAGAGAAGAACGAGUGUGAGAGUGGAAAGUUCACACUGUGACGGUAUCUUACCAGAAAGGGACGGCUAACUACGUG